CUAGCAGCUGUUUUCACAACCGCAGCUAUCUAGUGGUUUUCCAGCAGUUUUAGUGGUGAAAGUUGAAAGAGCAGCUAUUUAAUAAGGUUUUGCCACGAAUUUAUUAGAACCGAAGCUAAUUUAGCUUUUUUUGGGCAAUAUUUCAAUCUCCCUCUUCCCAAAAACACAACAACACUCAGCAACAGCAUAAAAAAGGAAAAGAGAAACCUAAAGAGAAAAGAGGGAAAAGGGAGAAGAAGAGGGAAGGGAGGAAGGAGCCGGGCCGGCGGUGCUGAGUUCGCCGCCGCCGUCGCUGUCGCGUUGCCGUGCCGUCGGAAAGCCAGAACCGCAAGAGAAAGAACCGCGAAGAGAGAGGGAGAUCGCAUCAGCUCACCGCGAAGCCAGCGCCGUCGUCGUCCUCAUCGCGGGUCUUCACCAUCGCGUCUUGCCACCGCCGCCACCACUAAGCUUGCCGUCGUCACCACUGAAGCCGAAGAGAGAGAGAGAGAGUUCGCGAAGAGAGGGAGUGCGCACGCUCACGAAGGAGAAGAAUGACGAAGAGUGAAGGAGAAGCAGAAGACGAUGAACGCAGGCGAGAAGGAGGAGGUCCGUUCUCGCACCGUCCUGCUCUGCUGCCGUCGCUGCCAUCGAUUGGGGUCAAGGCCGUCGCCGCCGCACCCUGUUCCCGUCGCCAUUAGGGUUUGCUGCUGCUGCCAUUGAUAGAGCUGCCGCUGGGAGGAGCCGAAUAGGGAGAGGAGGUUGCCAUCACACACGCCGCCACCAGUUACAACCGUCGCCGAAACCAGGACAGAUUCACUGGCAGAGCAAGAGAUUUGAAAUCUAGUAAGAGCAAGAGCAAGAGCAAGAGCCACUCUUCUAUCUAUCAAUCUUGCAUUGCCUUCUCGUGCGUUGCUACCUCCAAACUUCCAAAUCCAGAACAAAAACAUUGCUGCUCUUAUUAUUCUUUCCAGAGAGAUUGAGAAGCUAAAGCUUACUGAUAUGACUUGCCGUCAAGGGGUUAUUGAAGUAGCCAAGAUGCAGACGUUGAUAACAGUGGUACCAUAGAUUAUGGUAAUUUAUAGCGGCAAUGCUUCAUCUAAACAAAAUCCAGAAGGAGGAUCAUCUAUAUGCUGCAUGCCUUCACUUAUUUUGACUAAGAUGGUAGUGGAUACAUUACAAAGGAAGAGCUUUAACAAGCUUGUGAAAAGUAUGGAAUUCUAGAUGGUAACAUAGAUGAUAUAAUACGCGAAGUUGACAAGGAUAAUGAUGGACGCAUUGAUUACAGUGAGUUUACUGCAAUGAUGCAAGAAACUGACUUUGGCAAAAUUGGUCUACCUAAAGCAUGAGUAAAAAUUGCUCUUAUUUUUGUAUUUGUCUUGAUGUAGAAGCAAUAUAAUUGAGUAGCUUCAUGAAGCUAAUUUUUUUUUAA